GUGGGAGAGAGAGGACGCACUGUGAUCGUCUCCGCGUUCAGUUUCUCGACAGGGGAAACGAAAACGUCUUUUGUAUCAAUUGGUGUUAAAAAAAGAAAUUCGUGAUUGGUUAAACUGGUCUACCUCCACUUAUCAGUGAUUGGAUAAAAGGAAUUUAUUUCUGUGAUUGGUUACAAAUAAAUGUCGUACGAUUGGUUA